UUCCUGCGGAGUCAAUUGGAACCCAAAUCUAAAAAUGAAUCGUGGACUAGUUGUAGCAAAAAGUCGGUGCUGUAUAGAAACAUGUAGUUCUUCUGCGCGGGCACAUGCCCAAAGUUCUGUGGCGCUGUGGGUUGAACCAUUUGUUAAGUUAAAGCGCCUAAAGCUGAAGUGCGCAUGGAAUUUAUAAAGCGUGUUAGUUGCUGAAGACAGCAGCGCGGUGGCCAUGAAGGUCGGAAUCCGGUAAAGAGUGUGUAACAACUCACCUGCCAAAGCAACUAGCCGCAAAAACGGAUGGCGCUAUAACAUUGUAUUUACAUUCAAGCCCUGACGUGUGACGCACCGGGACACUCAGAGAGUAAGAAGGUAAUGUGAUAGCGUUGAAGAAUAGAGUCGCGCUGAGUUGUCCGCGUGUU
rnacentral:ncRNA from 1 species